CAGUCGCCGCGGUAACACCGAGGGUGCGAGCGUUAAUCGGAUUUACUGGGCGUAAAGCGUGCGUAGGCGGCUAAUUGAGUCGGAUGUGAAAUCCCAGAGCUUAACUUGGGAAUUGCAUUCGAUACUGGUUAGCUAGAGUGUGGGAGAGGAUGGUAGAAUUCCAGGUGUAGCGGUGAAAUGCGUAGAGAUCUGGAGGAAUACCGAUGGCGAAGGCAGCCAUCUGGCCUAACACUGACGCUGAGGUACGAAAGCAUGGGGAGCAAACAGGAUUAGAUACCCCCGUAGUCCCUGUCUCUUAUAC
rnacentral:rRNA from 1 species